AACGAACGCUGGCGGCAUGCCUAACACAUGCAAGUCGAACGCCUGUAGCAACACAGGAUUGGCAGACGGGUGCAUAACACGUGGGAACCUACCCUUGGGUUCGGAAUAACCGCGGGAAACUGCGGCUAAUACCGGAUACGUCCUAUGGGAGAAAGAUUCAUCGCCCUUGGAGGGGCCCGCGUCGGAUUAGCUAGUUGGUGAGGUAACGGCUCACCAAGGCGACGAUCCGUAGCUGAUCUGAGAGGAUGAUCAGCCACACUGGAACUGAGACACGGUCCAGACUCCUACGGGAGGCAGCAGUGGGGAAUAUUGGACAAUGGGGGCAACCCUGAUCCAGCAAUGCCGCGUGGGUGAUGAAGGCCUUCGGGUUGUAAAGCCCUUUUGGCAGGGACGAUGAUGACGGUACCUGCAGAAUAAGCCCCGGCUAACUUCGUGCCAGCCGCCGCUGUAA
rnacentral:rRNA from 1 species